GAUUUCAACUGAAAAAGUCAUCGACAACAAAGUUGUAUAACUCAUCAAGAUCUAUAACUUUUAUUUUGAUCAGUUUUUCAUCCGACAAAGUGAUAGUAAUAUUGUUCACAAAAUCUACAUCUAUCUUAUUUGGUUCUAUAAACUAUAAGAGAGAUAUGUAAACUUUGUGAACAAUAUUACUAUCACUUUAUCAGAUAAAGAAAUGACCAAAAUAAAAGUUGUAUGUCUUGAUGAGCUCUACAACUUUUAUGUUCAUGACUUUUUCAGCUGAAAUU
rnacentral:pre_miRNA from 1 species